UAGCCUAGUGGUUAAGGCUAUGGAUCGCCAAUCCGCAGAUUUUGGGUUCGAUUCCCGU
rnacentral:tRNA from 1 species